UUGAAACAUCGAUUCCCAUCUGAUCACUGAAGAUAUGCACCAUCAAGCCUGGUCAGUACCUAGAUGAGUGACUGCUUGGGAAUAUCAGGUGG